UACGUAGGGACCAAGCGUUGUCCGGAAUCAUUGGGCGUAAAGAGCGUGUAGGCGGCCAGGUAGGUCUGCUGUGAAAACUCGAGGCUCAACCUCGAGACGUCGGCGGAAACCAUCUGGCUAGAGUCCGGAAGAGGAGAGUGGAAUUCCUGGUGUAGCGGUGAAAUGCGUAGAUAUCAAGAGGAACACCUGAGGCGAAGGCGGGUUGCUAGGCUGACACUGACGCUGACAGCGCGAAAGCCAGGGGAGCAAACGGG
rnacentral:rRNA from 1 species